rnacentral:rRNA from 1 species
UACGAAGGGUGCAAGCGUUACUCGGAAUUACUGGGCGUAAAGCGUGCGUAGGUGGUUUGUUAAGUCUGAUGUGAAAGCCCUGGGCUCAACCUGGGAAUUGCAUUGGAUACUGGCAGGCUAGAGUGCGGUAGAGGGUAGUGGAAUUCCCGGUGUAGCAGUGAAAUGCGUAGAGAUCGGGAGGAACAUCUGUGGCGAAGGCGACUACCUGGACCAGCACUGACACUGAGACGCGAAAGCGUGGGGAGCAAACAGG